rnacentral:rRNA from 1 species
CCGGCACGGGUGAGUAACACGUAUCCAACCUGCCGUCUACUCUUGGCCAGCCUUCUGAAAGGAAGAUUAAUCCAGGAUGGGAUCAUGAGUUCACAUGUCCGCAUGAUUAAAGGUAUUUUCCGGUAGACGAUGGGGAUGCGUUCCAUUAGAUAGUAGGCGGGGUAACGGCCCACCUAGUCAACGAUGGAUAGGGGUUCUGAGAGGAAGGUCCCCCACAUUGGAACUGAGACACAGUCCAA